AUUGAACGCUGGCGGCAGGCUUAACACAUGCAAGUCGAACGGAGAGAGGUAGCUUGCUACUGAUCUUAGCGGCGGACGGGUGAGUAAUGCUUAGGAAUCUGCUUAUUAGUGGGGGACAACAUUUCGAAAGGAAUGCUAAUACCGCAUACGUCCUACGGGAGAAAGCAGGGGAUCUUCGGACCUUGCGCUAAUAGAUGGGCCUAAGUCGGAUUAGCUAGUUGGUGGGGUAAAGGCCUACCAAGGCGGCGAUCUGUAGCGGGUCUGAGAGGAUGCUCCGCCACACUGGGACUGAGACACGGCCCAGACUCCUACGGGAGGGAGCAGUGGGGAAUAUUGGACAAUGGGCGCAAGCCUGAUCCAGCCAUGCCACGUGUGUGAAGAAGGCCUUAUGGUUGUAAAGCACUUUAAGCGAGGAGGAGGCUACUAUAGAUAAUACCUAGAGAUAGUGGACGUUACUCGCAGAAUAAGCACCGGCUAACUCUGUGCCAGCCGCCGCGGUAAUAC
rnacentral:rRNA from 1 species